rnacentral:rRNA from 1 species
AGUCGAGGGGUAUAGUUCUUCGGAGCUAGAGACCGGCGCACGGGUGCGUAACGCGUAUGCAAUCUACCUUUUACAGAGGGAUAGCCCAGAGAAAUUUGGAUUAAUACCUCAUAGUAUAGCUGUACCGCAUGGUACUACUAUUAAAGUCACAACGGUAAAAGAUGAGCAUGCGUCCCAUUAGCUAGUUGGUAAGGUAACGGCUUACCAAGGCUACGAUGGGUAGGGGUCCUGAGAGGGAGAUCCCCCACACUGGUACUGAGACACGGACCAGACUCCUACGGGAGGCAGCAGUGAGGAAUAUUGGACAAUGGGCGCAAGCCUGAUCCAGCCAUGCCGCGUGCAGGAUGACGGUCCUAUGGAUUGUAAACUGCUUUUAUACGAGAAGAAACACUACUUCGUGAAGUAGCUUGACGGUAUCGUAAGAAUAAGGAUCGGCUAACUCCGUGCCAGCAGCCGCGGUAAUACGGAGGAUCCAAGCGUUAUCCGGAAUCAUUGGGUUUAAAGGGUCCGUAGGCGGUCUUAUAAGUCAGUGGUGAAAUCUCCCCGCUCAACGGGGAAACGGCCAUUGAUACUGUAGGACUUGAAUUAUUAGGAAGUAACUAGAAUAUGUAGUGUAGCGGUGAAAUGCUUAGAGAUUACAUGGAAUACCAAUUGCGAAGGCAGGUUACUACUAAUGGAU